GAUGAAGAACGCAGCGAAAUGCGAUAAGUAAUGUGAAUUGCAGAAUUCAGUGAAUCAUCGAAUCUUUGAACGCACAUUGCGCCCGCUAGUAUUCUGGCGGGCAUGCCUGUCCGAGCGUCAUUUCAACCCUCAAGCCCCCGUGCUUGGUGUUGGGGAUCGGCGAGCCUCCGCGCCCGCCGUCCCCUAAAUCUAGUGGCGGUCUCGCUGUAGCUUCCUCUGCGUAGUAGCACACCUCGCACUGGGAAACAGCGCGGCCACGCCGUUAAACCCCCAACUUCUGAACGUUUGACCUCGGAUCAGGUAGGAAUACCCGCUGAACUUAAGCAUAUCAAUAAGCGGAGGA
rnacentral:misc_RNA from 1 species